rnacentral:rRNA from 1 species
GGGUCAGUAGGUUGGUCGUGCCACCGGCGCGUACUGGUCUCACUGAUUCCUCCUUCCUGAAGAACCGUAAUGCCAUUAAUUUGGUGUUGCGGGGAAACAGGACUGUUACUUUGAAAAAAUUAGAGUGUUUAAAGCAAGCUAACGCUUGAAUACAUUAGCAUGGAAUAAUGAAAUAGGACGAUCGAUCCUAUUUUGUUGGUUUCUAGGAUUGACGUA